ensembl:lncRNA
CCCUCCCCCCGCCGGAGGAGCGUACCAUCCGCAGGCGGGGGUGGGUUAGGGUCGCUCCCGGAAGUAGCCCUUGCGCGUCCCGGAACCCGAGCCCCUUCCCCCGGCUCCGCGGGGUUUGGGCGCCUUCCCGAGGCGCCCGCGGUGGCUCUCGGGGGAAACGCGGUGCUCGGCCGAGUGGCGGCGGGUCACUGCCGGCCGCGGUGGGGCGGUCGGCUGCGGCGGGAGGCGCACCUGGCUUCGCGUGCCUGGUCUCAGGGGGCCUAGGUUCACGUGGAGGCUCCCCACGGCACCCGCCUCGUAGUCCUCAUCCUGUGCGCCUCCGUGGAAGGGAGAGUGGCGGUAGGACUGUUGCCGCCGGUGACUGCACGAGACCCCACCUCUACCCAGGGAAUCCAUCCGGAGUUGGGGCUCCUGGAGCGUCGCCUCGGGUAAGUGGUCCCUCACAAGACAGAAUCUGAAGUCCAAUGUCGUAGAUUCGGUUUAUCUGUAGUCAGCCCGAGGCCCGGCCUCCGUGGCACCACACACCGCUUGCCUUGCUCUGGCGCCAUGGGCCCACUUCAAGUUG